rnacentral:rRNA from 1 species
AAAAACAUGUCUUUAUGAUGAUUAAUAUAAAGUCUAGCCUGCCCAUUGAUAUAAAGUUUAAAGGCCGCGGUAUAGUGACCGUGCGAAGGUAGCAUAAUAAUUUGUCUCUUAAUUGGAGGCUUGUAUGAAUGGCUGAACAAAAAGCUAACUGUCUCUGAAGUAAAGCUUGAAAUUAACUUUUAAGUGAAAAGGCUUAAAUAUAUUAGAGGGACGAUAAGACCCUAUAAAUCUUUAUAUUCUCGUUAAUAAAAUUAAAGAGUAGGUUAGUAUUUAAUUUUAUGAACUCGAAUAUUCUGUUGGGGAGACAGAGGUAUAAAAAUAAGUAACUGCCUUAAAGUUUAGGUUAAAGAUAUUUAAUUAAGUGAUCCCUUAGUAGGGAUGUUAGAGUAAGUUACUUUAGGGAUAACAGCGUAAUUUCUUUUGAGAGUUCUUAUCGAAAAAGAAGGUUGCGACCUCGAUGUUGAAUUAAAGAUCCUUUAUGGUGCAGAAGUUAUAUAAGGAGGUCUGUUCGACCUUUAAAUCUUUACGUGAUC